rnacentral:misc_RNA from 1 species
AAGAGACGUUGCCCCUUCGGGGUAUACCUCCCACCCUUUGUUUAUUAUACCUUUGUUGCUUUUGGCGGGCCCGUCCUCGGACCACCGGCUUCUGCUGGUCAGUGUGCCGCCAGAGGACCUAAAACUCUGUUUGUUAAUAUUGUCUGAGUACUAUAUAAUAGUUA